rnacentral:rRNA from 1 species
CGCCUGUUUUUACAAAAACAUAGCCUGUAGAWAYKMUUAUAGGUGUGUCCUGCCCGGUGAUAUUUAACGGCCGCAGUACUCUGACUGUGCAAAGGUAGCAUAAUCAAUUGGCUUUUAAUUGGAGUCUAGUAUGAAUGGAUUUACGUAAAAGUUCUGUCUCAACAAAAUUUUUUUUAAAUUUUUUAAAAGGUGAAAAAACCUUUAGUAUCUAAAAGACGAGAAGACCCUAAGAAUUUUAAAAAAAUUAAUCUAUCUUUUUUGCUGGGGCGGCAACGGAUCAUGAAACAUCCGUAUAAUCGAGGUUUUCGUAUUAUAAAUUACCUUAGGGAUAACAGCACAAUUGUUACCUCGAUGUUGGACUAGGAACCUUAAGGUUAGAUACUCUAAAGGUGAGUUCUGUUCGAACUUAUUCUCCUACAUGAUCUGUUWUCRSACCGG